CGAUGUAAAAUAGUACAUAUAAAACUCGAAAUCAAUUGUACCGCAAGGUACCGUGGGUUCGAAUCCCACCCUCUCUGCCA
rnacentral:tRNA from 1 species